GCCGCGUUCGCGGGCGCCGCCGUGGGUGUGUCCGCACGGAGCUCACACCUGCGUGUUACACGGUUGGAGCACCAUCAAAGGCGCCGCAGAGUUCGCAAAUACAGAAGUUCUGUGACCGAGAACAACAACUAGGCAAUAUUUAUGAAAUUAAGAUUCCAGGAUGCGCAGAAUCUUCCAAGUGUCCCUAAGUAGAAGAGGUGGGUGGAUCCAAGGAAGAAUUGGAGCCAAGCCAUUCAAACACAAUACGGCAAGAUGGGAGGGAGAGGUCAUCCCUGUGCUGUAGUGCUUCAAGCUGAGAGCAGCACUUCAAGCUCUGUGCAGCUGACAAAUCCAAACCCUGGACCAAGGAGAGCUUCAGGAAUUGACCAAUAGAUCAAGAGUGAACGCAGCUGGGCAAUGCAAGUGAUUCUAUCUUCUAAUUAAAGGGUUUCCUGUGCGUGUGUGGUUACCUGGCAUAAUUACUAAAUGGUUUGCAUGAAAUAACAUGUAGCAUUCUGCAGUUACUGUGCAAUUACCUUAAAUCAUCACCAUGCAAUAAAAAA